rnacentral:lncRNA from 1 species
AGACUCUUUGAACCCAGGAUCUUUAGGUGACACAUCUUUUUGGUUUCUCUUUCUUUGUUUCUAAUGAUAGCAGUAGAACCUGAGUUGGUCAUUUCAUCAUAUUUCAGUACCUCUUUUCCACUACUGAUUACUGGAUGAUUCAGUCAACAAAUCUUUGGAGGUGAGAUGAACACACAAAUUUGAAAUAACUGAUAGAAGUGAAGAAAGAAAAUUCACACAGAUCAUGUUCCAGUGAAGACUCUUCAGAUGAUCCUAGAGAAUGAUUUACAUUGUCCACCUAAGGUGAAAGUGUGGAUAGCCUCAGUACAGCAAGUUUUGGCUGAGGCUGAAUAAAACUGGACACUCUCCAGACUCCAAGCCAGCAGAAGACCUCACAGUCUGCUCUCUGCUGCUCAUUCAUAAGUCUGCAAGAAGUUACGGCCCUUGUAGUUCUGCCAGCCUGUUUACACCUAUGAAUGCACCCUAACUUAACUCAGCUGCAAAUGAGUUCAUCUAGUGGAAGCUGCUUAAAACAAAUUUGCUUUUCUGGUUCA